rnacentral:rRNA from 1 species
AUUGAACGCUGGCGGCAUGCCUUACACAUGCAAGUCGAACGGCAGCGGGGGAGAAGCUUGCUUUUCCUGCCGGCGAGUGGCGAACGGGUGAGUAAUACAUCGGAACGUGCCCUGUAGUGGGGGAUAACUAGUCGAAAGAUUAGCUAAUACCGCAUACGACCUGAGGGUGAAAGUGGGGGACCGCAAGGCCUCAUGCUAUAGGAGCGGCCGAUGUCUGACUAGCUAGUUGGUGGGGUAAAGGCCUACCAAGGCGACGAUCAGUAGCUGGUCUGGGAGGACGAUCAGCCACACUGGGACUGAGACACGGCCCAGACUCCUACGGGAGCCAGCAGUGGGGAAUUUUGGACAAUGGGCGAAAGCCUGAUCCAGCAAUGCCGCGUGUGUGAAGAAGGCCUUCGGGUUGUAAAGCACUUUUGUCCGGAAAGAAAUGGCUCUGGUUAAUACCUGGGGUCGAUGACGGUACCGGAAGAAUAAGGACCGGCUAACUACGUGCCAGCCGCCGCCGUAA